CACCCCUCAAGCGCUGCUUCGCUUGGAGUUGGGGCUCUUGCAGCGAGCACUUAGUGCCCUGCAAGCCCCGAAAUUCAGCGGCGAGCCCGCCGGCACACCGAGCGCAGUAGAACUACUUCUCGCUCAGGGCGUGCGGCGCGGCGCUGCCGACCCCUAAACUUUUUGAAA
rnacentral:misc_RNA from 1 species